UAGGGUUUUAGAACUGCUGGUAACUCCUGCACAAGAAUGUUUCUUGUGCAGGAGUUACCAGCAGUUCUAAAACCCUAUAGACAAAAA
rnacentral:pre_miRNA from 1 species